ACUAAGACUUUUUCGGCAAUAUUUAAGGUUUCUCAAUGUAAGUGUAUGAUUGCUUAAUCAGUCUUGCUUAAAACAAAAGGUCACGUAUCAUAGAAAUAUGCACAUGUACGGAUUCCCGUUUCUGUCAUAUCAUUAUCAGACAUGACGUUGCGUUGAUCAACUCACAGGGGCUUGUCCCGAAUUUUUUCACCAUUUUAUAUCUACCACCUCUAUACAAUAAAAUAUAUUUUAUUGUGUAGAGGUGGUAUACAUAAAUGGUGAAAAAGUUUGGGACGAGCCCCUGUGAUCAAUUUGAUGUAAAAGGGACGUAAACGUAAAUAAUCCCUGUUUAUAAAUGACAAAAAUCAUUAGUGAAAAAGUAUUUUUUCCAAGAUGAAAUGUUUGAAUAAAUGUAGCCAAUAACACUGAAUAUAAACUUUUAUCCUGCAAAUACCCCUUGCACGGACCUGUGAAUUAAAGGUAACCCAAUAAACCAAAGCUAUAUUCGGUCAAUGCCCCAAUAUAGCUUCGUACAUUUAACCGACGUUCAAAUGCAUUGUGACGUCAUCUUUUUUGCUUUGUUUAAGCUGUAGCAUAAUGGUUUCAACUGCAAAAAAGCAGCAGAUUUUGUCUAAUAAAGAUUAUUUGAGGUGCAAAAUGUGAUAUUAUUAGUGCUGAAACGAAUACCAUAAAUCAGUAUUCGAAUAUUCGUGAGUACUAUUCGAUUCGUAUUCGAAUAUUCGUAGACGUCAUAGACAAUGUAUUAAGCAUAUAUAAUAGUUUGUAUUACGAAGUGGGUGUAUGUGUAGACUGCUUAAACAUGUCAGUUCGAAGUUGACACUUAAUGCAUGAGUAUCCAUUGAAUUGGGUGCGCAUUUAAUUUUUAAGCAAAUAACAAUAUACUGAUUUUUUAAAAAUUUCCAUCAACUACAAUCAAAAGAUUUAUUACUUCUUUAAUAAUAUACUGCAGUCCUGACUUCUGUAUGAGACCGAUACGUAACUUCGUAAGUCAGUCCAAAUAUUUCCGCCAUGUUUGAUAUAGUAUUAAACAGAAAACUUAUAACGCUCAUAACUCCGGAAAUGUUCUGU
rnacentral:sRNA from 1 species